ensembl:lncRNA
AAAAAUCUUUAUACUUUGUGUAGUAAAUGGCAAGCACUGCUCUGUUACCAUAGGAAAUAGGGUAUGGAGGCAGAUACAGAGCCUUCCCUCAGAGAAUGGUGAUCCAGGAGAAAAGAGAGUGGGUCCACAACAUGAACUGACUUGUGACUGGUAAUAUCACAUCCUAGAGGAGAUGAAGUGUUGGGAUGUGGUAUCAGGAGGAUUUGGGUUCACAUCUCAGCUUCCAGAGGCUGGAGAGAUGGCUUGGCAGUUAAGAGCACUUGUUGGGCAUGGUAGCAAAGGCCUUUAAUCCCAAGCACUCGGGAAGCAGAGGCAGGCAGAUCUCGGUGAGUUUAAGGUUAGCCAGGUCUUCAAAGUUCCAUGACAGCCAGGACUACAUAGAGAAACCUGGUCUUGAAGAACAUUUGCUGCUCUUGCAAAGGACCUGAGUUCCAUCCCCAGAACCCACAGUAGGAAGCUACAACCAUUGUAGCUCUAGUUCUAGGAGAUCUGCUGCCCCUCUUCUGGUCUCAUUGGGCACCUGCAUAUAUGUGUGUAUAACACAGAGACAGAUAUGCAUACAAAUAAUUAAAAAUAAAAAUAGAUCUUAAAAUUUUUUACUUGUUAAAAAAAAAUCUCAGAAGGUUGGACGGAUUGCAUAGCAGUUGAGAACACUACCUGUUCUUCCAGAAGACUUGGGUUUGAUUCCCAGCACCCACGUGGUAGCUCAUAACCAUCUGUAACUCCAGUUUUAGCGGGUCUGAUUCCCUCUGCAGGCACAACACAUAUGUGGUGCAGACAUACAUGCAGGCACAUAUCCAUAAUUCAUACACAUAAAAUAAAAAUAAAAACAAAAAAUGAAAAAAUAUCUUAACUCUCAUUUGUGUUUCUGGUCUGAGUUUUAAUUGUAGUAUACUUAUAUAUACUACAUGUCCCUGCACAUGGCCAUUAUGAAUCCCAUUCAAGGCAGCAGGCUGGAAAGUACACACCACAAACCUGAGUACUGAGCAGUACAUCUUCCAGGUCUAAAUAAGCAUCAUUAGGGAGCUGGAGAGAUGGUUCAGUCAGUAGUCAAGAGCACUUGCUGCGAACCUGGAUUCAGUUCCCAGUAUGCACAUGAUGGCUCACAAACACCCAUAACUCCAGGUCCAGUAGAUCUGGUGCUCUCUUCUGACCUCUACGGGUACCAGGCACACAUGUGGUAUACAUAUAUGCAUGAGGCAAAACACUCAUGCACAUAAAAUCAAUAAAUCUAAAAAAGUACCCCCAGUAAAGUUCUGAUAAAAGUGCUAUGUGAGGAAUCUUAUGUUCCUGAAAUAAAUGAGUACUGCUCACAGGCCCUAUGCUUGCCUCUGCUCUGGAUGCUAGACAUUUAUAUGGGACUCACAAGCCACCCUUGGAUGAGACUGCUGCCGAAUGCAGAGUAAUGGUGAUCCAGCAAGCUGAGCAUGGUGGUGGUCCCUGUAAUUCCAGCACUGAAACAGGAAGAUUCAAGUUCAAGGCCAACAUGAAGCAGGUGUCUCCCAUGGAUAUCUACCAAAUGUGUCUUAACAAGAUACAGUAAGACUGGGCACAAACCCUCAUACCACAGCUGGGCAUGGUAACCCAGUAGGAGGAAAAGUCUCAAGGGCAGGUAUAAGAGUUAGAGACACAAAAAGAAUACCAAGCUAACAACCAUAACGUAAAUGCAGAGUGCCUAGCUCAGAUACAUAUAGGGCUCCUGUGUGUCGCUUCAAAUUCUGUUGAGCCCCAUGAAUCCUGCUUAGUUGAUUCUGUGGGCUGUGUUCUCAUGGUGUCCUUCACUCUACAGUUCCUACAAUCCGUCCUUCCCCUCUUCUGCAGGGUUCCCUUUGCUCCACCCAAUGUUUGGGUCUGCAUCUGCUCUGCUCUUUUUUCCUUCCCCACCACUUCCUGUUACUGAGUCCUAAUGGCUCCCUCGGGGAGGGGUGAGAAGGCACAGACACUGGGAGUCAGAUGAAAGGGAAACUGCAGACUCCUUUAUUUAGCAAUGGGAGGGGGGGGAGAAACCUUGCAUACCCACCCUCCCAGCAUCCAGGCACUCCAAUCCAUUGACAUCUCAUGGUCGCCCCUCACUGGCUAGGCAUGACCAGGGCCUCUGACAGUACCAGGCAGACUCCAGACUGGCUCAUCUCUCAGCCCGAUAGGCCUUAACUUCCUACACUUUUUUUUUUCUUUUUGUUCUUUUGAGACAGGGUUUCUCUAUGUAGCCUUGGCUGUCCUAGAACUUUUUCUGUAGACCAGGCUGGCCUCAAACUCACAGAGAUCCUCCUGUCUCUUCACCCCAAGUGCUGGGAUUAAAGGCAUGUGCCACCACCACCCAGGUCAAGCUGAUAUUUUCUUAUUUUUUUAAAUUUAAUUCUAUGUUUCCCAAAACAAAAAUAAAUGAUCCAACUAGGCUUAGUGGUAAGUCUGUAAUCCCAGAACUUGGGAGGCAGAGGCAGGAGUUUCAAGAGAUCAGUAGUUGAAGAGAUGGCUCAUCAGUUAGGAGCAAGUGCUGCUUUUGCAGAGGAUCUGGAUCAGUUCCAUGAAUCUACUUGGCAGCUCACAACUGUCUGUAACUCCAAUUCUAGGGGAUCUAAUGUAUUCUUCUGGCUCCUACUGGCACGAGGUAAGCCAUGGUGCACCUAUUUACAUGCAGGAAAAUAUACAUGUAAAUUAAUUCUUUUUAAUUGGAAAAAAUAAGUUAAAGAUCAGCCUCAGCUAUUCAGCAAGUUUGAGGCUAUCCUGGGCAGCAUGAAACUUUCAAAAAAUCCAAAUAAAGCUGGGCAUGGUGGUGCACACUUGCUGUGGAAUACUUUUUCUGUACACUUCGAAAAUGAACUGCUGAUAAAUACUGAUUGGCUGAUGGCUAGGCAGAAUUUUUAGAGCUGAGAGAAUGCUGGGAACAAGAAGGGUAGAGUCAGAGGAAUCACCAGCCAGAAGGAAAGGAAGGAGGAACUGCAGGAAAGGUAAAAGCCAUGAGCCUCAGGUCAGCACACAGAUGAACAGAAAUGGGUUAAGUUGUAAGAGCUAGUUAGUAAUAAGCCUGAGCUAUUAGUCAAGCAUUUAUAAUUAAUAAGGAGUUUCUGUGUGGUUAUUUGGGGAACAGCUGGCAGGACAGAAAAGUCCACUUACACACACCUUUAAUCUUAGUACUGGAGAGGCAGAGGCAGACAAUUCUCUUGAGUUCAAGGCCAGCCUGCUCUACAGAGUGAGUUCUAAGAUAGCUAGGGCUACAUAGAGAAAUCCUGUCCAAAAAAAAAAAAAAAAAAAAAAAAAAAAAAAAAAAACCACAACUAAAUAAAAUGCUCAAUUCAUGUGACUCUGAAGUCUUGGCUGUCUUUUCCUCCAUUAUUUUACAUCUAGAACAUACUGUGAGUGUCCAGUAUAUGUUUGUUAAGUGAGGAAAUAAACAAGAGCAGGCACAGGAGGACACAUUGCAAUCAAGGAACCAAUACAAAUCCUGUGCUGGGGCCCAGAGCAAGCUUUGACUAUUUUUCCAUAGAGGAACUGAAGUAAGAGGUAUUAGAAGGACUCUAAUCCCCACCCUGAAGGCAGAGAAAUAUGACAACGUGAUGGGGACCCUAGGGAGGGGACCAGGAGAAUGAAAUCAGAAAACAUUAAUUUAGAACAGAUCAUCUGUUGUCAUCUGUCCUGUCCCUUGGCUCACACUCUGCUCUCGACUCCGCCCUGUCUGGAGGCCGUAAGAUGACUAAGGCGUCAUUUCCUGUCAGGGUAAAUCAGACUGAUGUGGGUACUUGCUCUUCAUUCUUACCAUCCCCCAGGUAGAGACGUCCACAUCAAUCAGGAUGGAAGCCCAAGCAAAGCUGGCCUUUCCACAGGGUGGCAAUGGGAGUGGGGGGCGACUGCUUCCCACUCAGACCUUCCUGGCUCGGCUCCCGGGUGACUUUAUGUCUCUGGUCCUGAAUCUAUGUUUUCUGGAUGCACCUCAGUUCACUUGCUGCAGCGCCCAUGUGUGACUGCUUAACUGCGGUUGCUUCCUGGGCCAGAGAUCCUGGGCUUUGGAGAGCAUGGGAAAGAGACAAGAAAGAAAGCUUUAUAUGAGGUAAGCCUUGACAGCAAUAAUAACGGCCAAAGACUAACUUACAGUGCUUAAUAAUUUAUAAAGCCCUAGAGAGCUCUAUUCAUCUUUAUGACCUCGUGCAAAUGUCACCUCUUUUUACCCAAGGACAGCUCUCCCAGGCAGAGUUGAUCCUUCCACCCACACUUGGUAAAAUUUCCAUUAUUGUCCUUAUUGCCUUAUAAGAAACUUAUGUGUGUAUGUAUCUCAUGCCUCCCAUUAAGUCAUCAGUUCCUUGGGGGCAGAUCACUUUCCUGCCAUAAAUGUAUAUUUUUUUCUUUCUUAAAAAGUAACCUUAGCGUUCAUUAUGCAUACAUUUAUAAUUAUAAAAGCAAUGUUUAUGUAUAAUAAAAAUGAAAAAAAAAUAUAUAUGCUACUUGUAUAUUUAUAUAUGUUCAGCUAGAUGGCUGGCUCUGUGGUUGUCAAACCUGAUGACAUGCAUUUGGUCCCCAGGAAUCACAAGGUGAAGGAAGAGAACCUACAAGCUGCCCUCUGACCUUCACAUGCAAACUGUGGGAUAUACACACAGAUGGCUGCGUAGGGUUUGGUCACUUCUGGUUCCUGGGAAACUGCCUGGUCAAGCACUCUUGUAAAGGUCUGCUCAAUCCUGAAAUUAUCCCAUGACACUGGGAAAGCAGUUCCAAUGAAGGGUGCUAUGUUGCCCAGAUUGGAUUUGAACCCACACUUCCCUGCUUUAGCCUCCCCUGUGUUCAUCUUGAUGCUACCACUUCAAUGACUCCCAGCCAGGAAAAGAAUUCAGGAGACUACAGAGCCAUCCUCAUGUUCUUUCCAAGACAAAAAUUUGGUAAACAUUUGACCAAAAAUGUUGUUUAAAAAAUUGUUGUGCUGGGUGUUGGUGGCACACGCCUUUAAUCCCAGCACUCGGGAGGCAGAGGCAGGCAGAUCUCUGUGAGUUCAAGGCCAGUCUGGUCUCCAGAGCGAGUGCCAAGAUAGGCUCCAAA